UACGAAGGGGGCUAGCGUUGUUCGGAAUCACUGGGCGUAAAGCGCUCGUAGGCGGAUCUUUAAGUCAGGGGUGAAAUCCCGAGGCUCAACCUCGGAACUGCCUUUGAUACUGGGGAUCUCGAGUCCGGGAGAGGUGAGUGGAACUGCGAGUGUAGAGGUGAAAUUCGUAGAUAUUGGGAAGAACACCGGUGGCGAAGGCGGCUCUCUGGACCGACACUGACGCUGAGGCGCGAAAGCGUGGGGAGCAAACAGG
rnacentral:rRNA from 1 species